rnacentral:tRNA from 1 species
AACAGAGUAGUACAACAGAAGACUGCUGGGCCCCCAAGCCAGAGAGGCAGAGAGGAGUGGACUAAAACCAUCUUCUGCUA